GGCCUAUUGAUUUAAUGAUUUUAGGUCUGGCCUGCCCACUGAUAGUAUUGAAGGGCCGCGGUAUUUUGACCGUGCUAAGGUAGCAUAAUCAUUAGUUUUUUAAUUGAAAGCUUGUAUGAAUGGUUGAAUAAGAAAAUAGCUGUCUCUAAUUAAUUUGAGUAUGAAUUUUAUUUUUAAGUUAAAAAGCUUAAAUAUUUUUGAAAGACGAGAAGACCCUAUAGAGUUUUAUAGAUUUUUUUGUUUAAAUUUUUAGGAUUGUUAAUUAAAAUAUUGAAAAUUUAUUUGAUUGGGGUGAUUGAAAAAUUUAGUAAACUUUUUCUUUAUAAGAUCAUUAAUUUAUGAAAUUUUGAUCCAAUUUUUUUGAUUAUAAGAUUAAAUUACCUUAGGGAUAACAGCGUAAUUUUUAUUGAGAGUUCUUAUCGAUAUAAAAGAUUGCGACCUCGAUGUUGGAUUAAAAUUAAUUUUUGGUGUAGAAGCUAAAAAUUUUAGGUCUGUUCGACCUUUGAAAUUU
rnacentral:rRNA from 1 species